rnacentral:rRNA from 1 species
AUUGAACGCUGGCGGCAGGCCUAACACAUGCAAGUCGGGCGAGCCGCGGACGGGUGAGCAAUGUAUGGGGAUCUGCCUGAUGGAGGGGUAUAACUACUGGACACGGUAGCUACUACCGCCUAACAUCAGCUGAACCAAUAUGGGAUUAGCUUGUAGGUGAGGUAACGGCGCACCUAGGCGAAGAUCCCUAGCUGGUCUGAGAGGAUGAUCAGCCACACUGGGACUGAGACACGGCCCAGACUCCUACGGGAGGCAGUAGUGGGGAAUAUUGGACAAUGGGCGAAAGCCUGAUGCAGCCAUGCCGCGUGUGUGAAGAAGGACUUCGGGUUGUAAAGUACUUUCAGUGGGGAGGCGUUACCGACAGAAUAAGCACCGGCUAACUCCGUGCCAGCAGCCGCGGUAAUAC